rfam:Schistosoma mattheei strain Denwood, Zambia genome assembly, scaffold: SMTD_scaffold0000044
GUCUAGCUGAUGAGUCCCGAAUGGGACGGAACGAGCGUCCUGGAU